rnacentral:lncRNA from 1 species
GCCGAACUUCCCUUCGGAAGCCAAACACUUUCGGCGGCCGAACUUACUUUCGGCGGCCGAACUUGGCUCACCUGCCUUAGGUCAUUUCAACUCAAAACUCACUUCCCUUACCCUUAAAACAUCUCAUAAAACACAUAAUAGCACGUAAGAACAUAUAACACACUUCGACAUCCUGGAUUCCACCGGUAAACAGGAAUGCCGACGCCGG